rnacentral:rRNA from 1 species
UUCGCCUUCAUGAAGCCGGAAUUGCUAGUAAUGGCAGGUCAGCAUACUGCCGUGAAUACGUUCCCGGGCCUUGUACACACCGCCCGUCACACCAUGAGAGUUGGAGAUACCCGAAGCCUGUGAGCUAACAAACGAGGCAGCAGUCGAAGGUAGAAUCAAUGAUUGGGGUGAAGUCGUAACAAGGUACC